GACGAACGCUGGCGGCGUGCCUAAUACAUGCAAGUUGAGCGCUGAAGGUUGGUACUUGUACCAACUGGAUGAGCAGCGAACGGGUGAGUAACGCGUGGGGAAUCUGCCUUUGAGCGGGGGACAACAUUUGGAAACGAAUGCUAAUACCGCAUAAAAACUUUAAACACAAGUUUUAAGUUUGAAAGAUGCAAUUGCAUCACUCAAAGAUGAUCCCGCGUUGUAUUAGCUAGUUGGUGAGGUAAAGGCUCACCAAGGCGAUGACACAUAGCCGACCUGAGAGGGUGAUCGGCCACAUUGGGACUGAGACACGGCCCAAACUCCUACGGGAGGCAGCAGUAGGGAAUCUUCGGCAAUGGACGAAAGUCUGACCGAGCAACGCCGCGUGAGUGAAGAAGGUUUUCGGAUCGUAAAACUCUGUUGGUAGAGAAGAGCGUUGGUGAGAGUGGAAAGCUCAUCAAGUGACGGUAACUACCCAGAAAGGGACGGCUAACUACGUG
rnacentral:rRNA from 1 species